CAGUCGCCACGGUAAUACGAAGGGGGCUAGCGUUGCUCGGAAUGACUGGGCGUAAAGGGCGCGUAGGCGGCGGCCAAAGUCAGGCGUGAAAUUCCCGGGCUCAACCUGGGGGCUGCGUUUGAUACUUGGUUGCUUGAGUGGGGAAGAGGGUCGUGGAAUUCCCAGUGUAGAGGUGAAAUUCGUAGAUAUUGGGAAGAACACCGGUGGCGAAGGCGGCGACCUGGUCCUUUACUGACGCUGAGGCGCGAAAGCGUGGGGAGCAAACAGGAUUAGAUACCCCAGUAGUCCCUGUCUCUUAUAU
rnacentral:rRNA from 1 species